ACGCACGCUGGCGGCGUGCUUAACACCUGCAAGUCGCACGGAAAGGCCCUGCUUUUGUGGGGUGCUCGAGUGGCGAACGGGUGAGUAACACGUGAGUAACCUGCCCUUGACUUUGGGAUAACUUCAGGAAACUGGGGCUAAUACCGGAUAGGAGCUCCUGCUGCAUGGUGGGGGUUGGAAAGUUUCGGCGGUUGGGGAUGGACUCGCGGCUUAUCAGCUUGUUGGUGGGGUAGUGGCUUACCAAGGCUUUGACGGGUAGCCGGCCUGAGAGGGUGACCGGCCACAUUGGGACUGAGAUACGGCCCAGACUCCUACGGGAGGCAGCAGUGGGGAAUAUUGCACAAUGGGCGGAAGCCUGAUGCAGCAACGCCGCGUGCGGGAGGACGGCCUUCGGGUUGUAAACCGCUUUCGCCUGUGACGAAGCGUGAGGGACGGUAAUGGGUAAAGAAACACCGGCUAACUACGU
rnacentral:rRNA from 1 species